rnacentral:rRNA from 1 species
UACGGGGGGAGCAAGCGUUGUUCGGAUUUACUGGGCGUAAAGGGCGCGUAGGCGGCCACCGCAAGUCGACUGUGAAAUCUCCGGGCUUAACCCGGAAAGGUCAGCCGAUACUGCGGGGCUAGAGUGCAGAAGGGGCAACUGGAAUUCUCGGUGUAGCGGUGAAAUGCGUAGAUAUCAAGAGGAACACCUGAGGUGAAGACGGGUUGCUGGGCUGACACUGACGCUGAGGCGCGAAAGCUAGGGUAGCAAACGGG